rnacentral:lncRNA from 1 species
GCUCCCCAACACCCUGUAUGGAAUUUUGGGCAAGUCUACUGAAUGAGAAAAGACCCUUGGAGAGAGAAGCCAGCACUAAGGCCCUAGACAUGUGAAGGAGACCAUCUUAAACCCUCCAACCUCAGUCAAGCUGCCAGAUAACUGAUGCCUCAUGGAAAGCCCAGCUAAGAGCAGCAGAAGUACCACCCAGCUGAGCUCAGUCCUAAUUGUAAACUUAUAAGCAAAUGCAGGCAUACUUCAGAGAUAUUGUAGGUUUGGCUCCAGACCACCACAAUGAAUUGAGUUUGGCAAUCAAGUGAUAAUAAGAUUUCAAUGGCAAGAGCUCUGCAUUCUGUGAUCCCCUAAUUCCAUGAUGAUUUCCACAUUGGUCCAGGGAGAUUGCAGCAGAUAAACUCACAACCAAAAUAGAGACAAGCAGGAUGAAUGAAGUCAAAUCAUGACUUCAUGUUCCAUAUUGGAGAAGUUAUUCUAGCAACAUUUGCACAGAUGUCUUGAGAAUUAGUCUCCAGACAAAGAAUAAAGUAGGAGCAGAAGAUUUGAAUCCAGUGGGAGUUAAAUGUAAAGAAUUUUGGACAAUGCUGAAGAAAUUAGCUUUGAUAUAUUAUGAUUC